UCCACCAUUCCAUGAUUACAGGACAUGUCGUCUGACCUUCAUGUAUGGACUCACCCACUAGGAGGACUUUCGAUUCAAGUGAUUCCCAUGUCCAUAGAUCCAUCGUCGUUAUCUUACUCAUCUAAACCAAUCAUCGAGUAGAACCAUCAACUCUGAUAUCAAUUAUUGUGCAAUUUAGGGGGACAAAUUAUCGAGGGAUUUA
rnacentral:lncRNA from 1 species